rnacentral:rRNA from 1 species
AAUACUUAGGAAUCUACCUAUUAAUGGGGGACAACAUUUCGAAAGGAAUGCUAAUACCGCAUACGCCCUACGGGGGAAAGCAGGGGAUCUUCGGACCUUGCGUUAAUAGAUGAGCCUAAGUCGGAUUAGCUAGUUGGUGGGGUAAAGGCCUACCAAGGCGACGAUCUGUAGCGGGUCUGAGAGGAUGAUCCGCCACACUGGGACUGAGACACGGCCCAGACUCCUACGGGAGGCAGCAGUGGGGAAUAUUGGACAAUGGGGGGAACCCUGAUCCAGCCAUGCCGCGUGUGUGAAGAAGGCCUUUUGGUUGUAAAGCACUUUAAGCGAGGAGGAGGCUACUGGUACUAAUACUACCAGCUAGUGGACGUUACUCGCAGAAUAAGCACCGGCUAACUUUGUGCCAGCAGCCGCGGUAAUACAGAGGGUGCGAGCGUUAAUCGGAUUUACUGGGCGUAAAGCGUGCGUAGGUGGCCAAUUAAGUCAAAUGUGAAAUCCCCGAGCUUAACUUGGGAAUUGCAUUCGAUACUGGUUGGCUAGAGUAUGGGAGAGGAUGGUAGAAUUCCAGGUGUAGCGGUGAAAUGCGUAGAGAUCUGGAGG